AAGUCGUAACAAGGUCUCCGUUGGUGAACCAGCGGAGGGAUCAUUACAGAGUUGAAAAACUCCCUAAACCAUCGCGAACGUUACCCUUAACCGUUGCUUCGGCGGGUGGUCCACAAAAACCCCCCUGGCCCCCCUUUCGCGGGGGGGCGCCCGCCGGAGGUCCACGUUUAAACUCUUGAUACCUGUACGGCCUCUCUGAGUAUUCUGUACUGAAUUAAGUCAAAACUUUCAACAACGGAUCUCUUGGUUCUG
rnacentral:misc_RNA from 1 species